rnacentral:misc_RNA from 1 species
GACAAUCCUUCCUUGCCCAAACAAGUAAAUGACUAAUGGUUACAUUAAUUUUAAACAGUUUGGUGGUGUUUGAUGAAAUUGAAAGUUCAGGAGCUGGAAUACAACUGAACUGUUGGCACUUAUAAAUGUUGAAAUUGUGAAUUAAAAUAAUCAUGGAUUUAAUGAUGUUUUUCCAUAGGAAAAUUAUUAAAUGACUAAGACAAUAAAAGUGGUAGUGAUGAUGGUAUUGAUAAUGGCACUUUGUCAUGUUAAUGGGGUCAUGGUUGUUAUGCCGAUGCUGUUGGCUAUGGUAAUGGAAUAUGGUGAUGCCAAUGGGGUAACUGUUCUGAUGCUGGCCAUGAUGGUGGUGUGAUGAUGUGAUUAUGUUAGGUGAUGAACAUAGUAGUGAUUGGUUUGGCAGUUGAGAAAAACAUUGUCAUUAGUAAAAUACAUGAAGCAAGUUUUUUUUUUUUCUAU